CGGAAAUGGUAGGGGCCAGCCGCACCCGCGGGUCCUAGCGAGCUGUCCGGCCAGCUGGUCUAGCAUGCAGGUCCCGCGAAUGCCGAAGGACAAGCGGGAGAAGGGAGGACCCGGCCUUCUGUUUGUCCUCAGGGAGGGAUCCUGGGGCGCAGACUAGCCCGUCUUCUGGUCCCACCCAAACGGCAGCUCGACUUGGAAGCCUGGCCGCAGGGACCCAGUCCAGCCCCCGCUAGCUGCUCUCACAGCACCGUGCUUAUUCUUUUCUAAAUCUUGUUAUGUCGAUGCGCUUAUUUGAACGAUCUUGGGUUCACUGCAGUCUCCCUCCAGACGAGGUCUUCAGCCUGUUUGUGGACCCUCAACAGUUUGAUCUGUGAAAGAAACAUGCAUAAAUGUAUGAAUACACGAAUAAAUGAGUGCUAAGUGACGAUCACACCGCUACAAACCUAACUGAAAGUGACUGUGCUUUCUCACUCUCACCUGAGUUUUUCCCUCUGCAGUUUGGUCGAGGCCAGGAUAGUGGAGGCAUGAAGAGAACCUGUCUUGUGCUUCACCUGCACAUCUGGCUGGUCGCCCCUAGAAGGUGUCAGUAAUUCCUCAAUCUGCUCCCCUCCUCCUGGGAGCACCAGUUUUUCCAUCCACAAAUCUGCAUACACUUGACUGAACUAGCUUCUUAUCUGUAUGAUAGAGAAACAUGCCAAAGCGCAAGGCAGCUCACGGCUUAUUUCCUCCCAUGGAGAAUAACUCCCCUGCCUCCUUAAAAUAUAAAUCCUGCCGGGCACGGUGGCUCACGCCUGUAAUCCCAGCACUUUGGGAGGCCGAGGUGGACGAAUCAAGGGGUCACGAGAUCGACACCAUCCUGGCUAAUACGAUGAAACCCCGUCUCUACUAAAACAAAAAAUUAGCCAGGCGUGGCGGCGUGCGCCUGUAGUCCCAGCUACUCGGGAGGCUGAGGCAGGAGAAUGGCGUGAACCAGGGAGGCAGAGCUUGCACUGAGCCGACAUAGCGCCACUGCACUCCAGCCUGGGCUACAGGGCGGGACUCUGUCUCAAAAAAA
rnacentral:lncRNA from 10 species